rnacentral:rRNA from 1 species
UGGGGAAUUUUGGACAAUGGGGGCAACCCUGAACCAGCCAUGCCGCGUGUGUGAGGAAGGCCUUCGGGUUGUAAAGCACUUUCGGCCGGAACGAAAUCGCGCGGAUUAACACUCCGCGUGGAUGACGGUACCGGAAGAAGAAGCACCGGCUAACUACGUGCCAGCAGCCGCGGUUAUACGUAGGGUGCGAGCGUUAAUCGGAAUUACUGGGCGUAAAGUGUGCGCAGGUGGCGGCGCAAGUCGAGUGUGAAAUCCCCGGGCUUAACUUGGGAAUUGCGCUCGAAACUACGUGGCUGGAGUGUGGCAGAGGAAGGUGGAAUUCCACGUGUAGCGGGGAAAUGCGUAGAGAUGUGGAGGACCACCGAUGGCGAAGGCAGCAUUCUGGGCCAACACUGACACUCAUGCACGAAAGCGUGGGGAGCAAACAGG